GACGAACGCUGGCGGCGUGCUUAACACAUGCAAGUCGAGCGGAGCGGCGAACGGGUGAGUAACGCGUGAGUAACUGCCCCCCUCUCUGGGAUAACAGUUGGAAACGGCUGCUAAUACCGGAUAGUGGGGGAUGAUUCGCGUCCUAUCAGCUUGUUGGUGGGGUAGUGGCCGACCAAGGGGACGAGUGGUCGCCGGCCUGAGAGGGGGACCGGCCACAUGGGGCUGAGAGACGUCCCAAACGGCUACGGGAGGCAGCAGUGGGGAAUAGUGCACAAUGGGGUAAACCCUGAUGCGGCAACGCCGCGUGCGGGAUGACGGCCUUCGGGUUGUAAACCGCUUGCAGCCAUGACGCGGUAGUGGCAGAAGAAGCACCGGCUAACUACGUGCCAGCAGCCGCGGUAAUUC
rnacentral:rRNA from 1 species